GCGGCUGAUGCCUGAUUAGCUUGUUGGUAAGGUAAAGGCUUACCAAGGCUUCGAUCAGUAGCUGGUCUGAGAGGACGACCAGCCACACUGGGACUGAGACACGGCCCAGACUCCUACGGGAGGCAACAGUGGGGAAUUUUGGACAAUGGGGGCAACCCUGAUCCAGCCAUGCCGCGUGAGUGAAGAAGGCCUUCGGGUUGUAAAGCUCUUUCAGCCGGAACGAAACGGUUACGGGUAAUACCCGUGACUAAUGACGGUACCGGAAGAAGAAGCACCGGCUAACUACGUGCCAACAGCCGCGGUAAUACGUAGGGUGCGAGCGUUAAUCGGAAUUACUGGGCGUAAAGCGUGCUCAGGUGGUAUUGCAAGUCAGAUGUGAAAGCCCUGGGCUUAACCUGGGAAUG
rnacentral:rRNA from 1 species